rnacentral:rRNA from 1 species
GACGAACGCUGGCGGCGUGCCUAAUACAUGCAAGUCGAACGAACCGCGACUAGGUGCUUGCACUUGGUCAAGGUGAGUGGCGAACGUGUGAGUAACACGUGGGUAACCUCUUUCAUAGUGGGGUACAACAGUCGCUAACGACUGCUAAUACCGCAUCGGACAUCGGGUCACAUCAUGCGGUGAUGCACGCUGGCGCAAGCUAUCGCGAAGAGAUAGAUCUGCGGUGCAUUAGCUAGUUGGCAGGGUAAAGGCCUACCAAGGCGAUGAUGCAUAGCCGAUCUGAGAGGGUGAGCGGCCACAUUGGGACUGAGACACGGCCCAAACUCCGACGGGAGGCAGCAGUAGGGAAUCUUCCGCAAUGGACGCAAGUCUGACGGAGCCACGCCGCGUGAGUGAAGAAGGUCUUCGGAUCGUAAAGCUCUGUUGUUAGGGAAGAACAGCGCGUGGAGUAACUGUUAUGCGUGUGACGGUAUCUAAACAGAAAGCAACGGCUAACUUCGUG